CUUCUUUUGUGAUUAAAAGAAGUUCAGUCUUCCUUAACUUGUGAAUUUAUUUCGUUCUACUUGGCACAAUAUCAAGUUAAGUAAAAUAAAGGUAUAUUUAAAAUCUUAUUCUUGAAAAUGAACUGCCAAAUAAGAGAUAGGGCAUGUCGUUCACACUGACUUACAUUUUUCGAUCUUGAAAAUUAGUUUCAUUAUCUCUGUCUAUUUUUCGGAAAAAAAUAUAUGUUAUCCUCUCUUGAAUUAUGUUAAAUAAUAUGUGGGUUUUUUUUUUUGUCAUGUGUAUUGAAUUUAGAAAAUUAGGUAGCCGAACCAUUUGUCUUGCAAAAUGCAACUUCUCCUUAGUGGUCGCAAUGGUGCGUUGUGAAUAAACCUGACGGUUUUUCGAUAAGAAAUUAUUUCCAUAAGGACCAGUUGCACAAUACAGAUGAUAUACUUUAGGAUCCUAAGAGAUCAUGUUUUUUUUUAGAUUUACUAUUUCGUGUAGUUGUUAUAUUGAAGAACUGCGAAAUGAAUAUUUACACCAUAUCUUCCAUUGGUAUUAAACACAAUAGUGAUUGAUCUCAUCUUUAGGUGCAAGAUGACGUAUAGAAAACCAGUUGUUUUUCUAAUAUUGGUCGUGCAUUAUUACAAAAACAUGUUAUUGUAAGAGAAUUUCAUAUUUCAGAAUCAUAUAUUCAUUUGUAAACAUCUUUUUGUAAACGAAUGUUAGAAAAUGUCGUAUUCUGAAUUUCAUCAAGGUAUAGAGUGAAUUAAUUUUCCAGACUUGCGUCGCGAAGGAAAACAGUACCAAUUUAUGAG
rnacentral:lncRNA from 1 species